AUUGAACGCUGGCGGAAUGCUUUACACAUGCAAGUCGAACGGCAGCACGGGAGCUUGCUCCUGGUGGCGAGUGGCGAACGGGUGAGUAACAUAUCGGAACGUACCCAGUCGUGGGGGAUAACUAUCCGAAAGGAUAGCUAAUACCGCAUACGUCCUGAGGGAGAAAGCGGGGGAUCGCAAGACCUCGCGCGAUUGGAGCGGCCGAUAUCGGAUUAGCUAGUUGGUGGGGUAAAGGCUCACCAAGGCGACGAUCCGUAGCGGGUCUGAGAGGACGACCCGCCACACUGGAACUGAGACACGGUCCAGACUCCUACGGGAGGCAGCAGUGGGGAAUUUGGACAAUGGGGGCAACCCUGAUCCAGCCAUUCCGCGUGAGUGAAGAAGGCC
rnacentral:rRNA from 1 species